GCCGGGCGUGGUGGUGUGUGCCUGUAAUCCCAGCUACUCGGGAGGCUGAGGGAGGAGAAUUGCUUGAACUCAGGAGGCAGAGGGUGCAGUGAGCCGAGAUCAGGCCACUGCACUCCAGCCUGGGUGACAGAGCAAGACUCUGUCUCAA
rfam:Homo sapiens chromosome 17, GRCh38 reference primary assembly.